CAUCAGUCUGAAAACAGGAGAUAUUUUAACUGGGUAUCACUAGCCUGUUAAAUCAUCCAUUUAAACCAGAAAUUCGUUCUUGAAUCAUGGGUACCUACAAGCAUGUACAACACAGUAUUAGAGUCCAAUAUUUGGGAAUCUGAUGAAGAUUUUAGUAAAGCUUAUCACUGUUUCUGCUCCUGGAGAGUACAUAGUACUUUACAGAUGCUUGAAACAGAUUCCAUGUUCUUCAACCCCAUUGAUUUAAUGUGGGUUGUUGCUCUUUGUUAUGCAGCAGAUUCAUCAGGAUUUUUCACUAUCAGGGCUCUAGAUAAUCUCAAUAUGGGCGGCCAAGUCUGGAGGUGAAUACACCUCAAUGUGAAGGACAGAGGGCCAAUAAGGAGAAAGGAGAUCUGAAGGAUAAAUAAACAUUUUAUAUUCAGUGGUGUUUAUAGUCCAAAGGGCUUUUCAUCCUUUCACCAGGAUUAAGUACAGCAGAAUUAAGUAAAAAUUAAAAAAGUAAAAAUAAGAACCUAGGAUGUUACAUAGUAGAGGAAAAUAUCCUGAAUCUGGCAUGCUGCAACUCCAUGCCUCCAGGUCAAACCAGUAGCAAGGGCAGACUGUGCUGUUUAGUUGCAGGACAACACCAGACAGACAUCUUUGCCAGCUCCUGUUUUCCAUAUGGCAUUCUUUGGGAACUUUAAUGCUACUAGCUGGAGGAUUUUGCACAUCAAUCAUGACAACUGUAGUUAUCUGUGAUCCCUACACAGGUACUACGAGGAUCAUCCUUACACUCUCUUCCCUUAAAUAGCCAUGAAAAAUUAACUAGAGUCUCUAAUGCGUUAUAGUUCAUUUUAAAAAUCACUGGAGAAUGAAUGAAGUGAUAUCAAGUCCUGCAAAAAUAAACCUAAGAAAAGCUUGAUGGGGGCAAGAAAAAAAUUCUCCUUGAGGAAAGAAAUGGCUGGACCACAUCUGUGGAUUAUGCAGCAAACUGAAGUGAACACAGAGUGAGCAGUAGUACAUAAUCUGGAUCAUGUCAAGGGAUGAUAGUUUUUACGGUAUCUUCCCAAGAUUUUAGAUUUAAAACAUUCACUUAACUUGUCAGAAAUAUGACAGCAGGACUGAAAGCUGGGUUUGAGUUUUCAAAAAGGUUUUACACCUCUUGAAAACACUGUUCCCUAACAACAAUUUCAACUGCCUCCAGGCAUUUAUCUUGUUUAAGUCAUGUACAUAAAAACAAGAAAAUUAAAUAAGACUUCUUAAUAAGACAUUCAUCUGAAUAAGUCUGUAAUUGUCUUGAACAGAAAGUGUUUAUGAACUUCUGAAUACAACAUUUCAUCUUCACAAACUGUAAGGCAAAGAGAGAGUCUGACAAGCAAUUAGGAAUCUCAAGAUAGAAAUUGCUAUGGAAGUCCAAGGUAUAUUUGUUAUUAAUCAUUGUGUAGCUCCCCACUACUGUAAAUCAACACCAGUAUGCUGAAGUCAACAGAGUAAUUGAAGCAACAUUGAUUUUUCACCAGCCCCAGAGCUGACCUAGAGCAUUUGGGCUUUAUUCAGGUUUCUUUAAAGAAAUAUAGUUCUUUUUUUUUAUUUCUCCCCCUUUCUGUAAAUUGAAGAAAGUAAAUACUAAAGCUAGAUUACUUAAGUCUUUAGAGUUGAGCACAAGAGGAUUAAGAAUUUAUAUUAAGGCCUUUUUCAGUCUUUCAUGUAUAAAAUGUUUGUAUUCUUGUUUUGAACUAAAUUGUAAUUUCAGUUACAAAAAUGUACUUAUGGAGCAUUGCUGAUGAGAUACAGUGCUAUUACUGAGAUAAACAUCUGACUCAUAGUACUUUACAUGCACUUCAGCAAUGAAUUUACAAUGCAGCAAUUUUUCAUAUAGGAAAAGUUUGCUAGAAUACAUUACAAAGAUAUUUGUGUAGUCACAGAGUCAUGGAAUUGUUUGGUUCAAAUGGACCUUAAAGAUCAUCUCACUCCAGCCCCCUAUUGUGAAGAGGGACACGUUUCACUAGAUCAAGCUGCUCAGAACCCCAUCCAACCUGGCCUUGAACACCUCCAGGGAUGGGGCACCCACAGCUGCUCUGGGCAACCUGUGCCAGUUGCCACCCUCACAAUAGAAAGAAAUCCAGGGACAAGUUGCAUUUACCAAAAACCCACUUGGAUGUGACACUCAAGGAAGAAAAGACUGAAAGGGGAAGAGAUACAGGAUACACAAGCAGAGCUGGCUGCACUGCUGAUGAAGAGGACACAGGAAAGCUUACUCUGCAGUACUGAGCGCUCGGAUGCCAUCUGUCUCUCCUCCUCAGAACAUCCAAGUUCUGCAGCGCUGGACAAAGAGAUGGGAGGGCUCUGAGUAACCCAGCCAGCCCUGGUAAUUCACUGCUGCUCCUGAUCUAGAAAUAAAAGGAUUCAAUCAUCUGUCAUUUGCAUGCGUGUCUGAGGCACGGAAAGGAGGAUUUUUCUUCGGAUGUUUUCCACAGAACUGAUCCAAUGUAGUGAUAGGAGGGCAGCGUUGCUUUGCUGGAUAUU